UACCAGCUCUCCGAGUGGUAGGGAUGAUUAUUGGGCUUAAAGCGUCCGUAGCCGGCUUAGCAAGUCUCCUGUUAAAUUCAGCGACCUAAUCGUUGAGCCGCGGGAGAUACUACUAGGCUAGGAGGCGGGAGAGGCCGACGGUACUUCUGGGGUAGGGGUGAAAUCCUAUAAUCCCGGGAGGACCACCAGUGGCGAAGGCUGUCGACUAGAACGCGCUCGACGGUGAGGGACGAAAGCUGGGGGAGCGAACCGGAUUAGAUACCCGGGUAGUCCCAGCUGUAAACGAUGCGGGCUAGGUGUUGGGGUGGCUACGUGCCACUUCAGUGCCGCAGGGAAGCCAUUAAGCCCGCCGCCUGGGGAGUACGGCCGCAAGGCUGAAACUUAAAGGAAUUGGCGGGGGAGCACCACAAGGCGUGAAGCUUGCGGUUC
rnacentral:rRNA from 1 species